rnacentral:lncRNA from 1 species
AACUUUUAUCAGUAAAAGUUCAUCUGGAGUCAGAGAACAGGGAAUGGCGCCCGACGUAAAAAUCGGAUGAGGCCUAGCCCUAGAUGUGGGUUCGUCUACAGUAUGAGGGUUCUGGGGGACUGAGGCAGACGAGCUCCUGGAACCGCUAGAGGUGGAGGUGCCAGAAGAUAUUUCAAACAAGAACCCUAAAAAUCUCGAAGAGAUCAGGCGAAAUAAGAGGCGAAAGGUUCAUGGGAGACCAGACAAGUGGAAUGCAGCAGAAGAAAAAUGGAGAAGAAGGGGCACC